UCGCCAGUUCCGCCUGUGUCCAGCAAAGGCUAGAAAACUACAUUUCCCACAAUCCCAAACGAUGCCGUCUGCACCUGAGUGGCCCGAACUCCCUUCCCUCCACGACUGGCCAAGGGCCAGUUGGUCCAGGCGGCCGGAAGUGGCGUUUCGGAGCUGCGACAGGGAUGUUGUCCCGGCCACGGAAAUAGAGUUCGCGGGACGACAGAAGUGGCGGGAGCUACUGCGCCCGCUGGAGCGGGAGGCUAAGGAUCAGGAGCCGCUGAGGUUGCGGGCGUGGCCCCUACCCCCGAGCCCUCCUCGCGAGGAUGGGAGGGAAGGUGGCCGACACGUGGUGCCUGCGCGCCCGGGCUCCUGCAGCCCGAAAGCCAAUAGUGCGGCGCCGGGGCGCCGUAAGAUCUCGGGGGUCUUGGGACCCGCCGCCCCCUCCAUUUGGCUUUCAGAUUCCUCGCUCUGCCGGUCUGGAUAAGCGAAGGAGGCCCCGCGUCUAACGCAGGAUAGAAAGCGGGAUAGAAUUAUCUGCCCGCUCUCUUGAGCGGCUCCGAGAGUGGGAGGAGCUGCGGCUGCGGGACUUGCGGGGCUUCUGUGCGGAGAACUUGCAGUCCUUGGCCUUGUGGUAGCCCCUCACCUUGGAGCCCUUGUAGGUGGCACCACGGUGGGCCUGUCUUGGCGGGGAGUCACUCCGGCUCCGCGAGCGGCUCUGUGACUUGGACCCGCCAGACGUGGAGCCGCUGUCACUCUUCCUGUGAAGGAGACCACCAGGUGAGGGACCACCCGGCCUGUCACCUCCACAAAGAUACCCCACCCCCACCCCGGCCAGGGACAGGCCCCAGGGAGCCCUGAGCAGCACGCACCUCCUUUUAGGGGAAGCGGAUCGCGACGGGGACCUUGAGUAGCUCUGCUCGUGGCUCCCGCUCCGACUCCGGCUCCCUCGGCCCUUGGGCAGGCUGACAACAGGGCGGGAGCGGUUUCAGAGCCAGCGCCUCGGCAGCCAAGCCCAGGGCCCGCGGCCGCCUCGGCAGCCAAGCCCAGGGUCCGCCGGCCGUUCGGGUACUCACCCAUUCACCGGGCUGUCGGCCUUGGCCUUCUUCGCGCCCUCCGUCCUCCUCCUGGCAUUCUUCGCAGAGAGCGGGGAGGGCUUGUUUCCUUUGCCCUCCUGGGGGGAGCCUGCUAGAAUCAAGCACAGGAAGUCACACCCUGACCGCUACUCUGGCGAGAAAGGGGUCAGCCGAGCAGGAUGAGGUUCCUCCUGCGGGAUCUACAGGGCCGACCUGACUCCUUGCUGGACUCGGAACCCCGAGAUGCAGAAAGCCACCUGUCUUGCUUGCCUUGGGGACUGGGACGGCAUCAUGCUUCACUCCAGCCUCUGACAACAUGACCUACUGCCCUGCCCUGGACGUUCGAGAUUUGCAUCAAAAGACACGCUAUGUGGGUGGGCUGAAUAAAGAGGCUUUCGGAAGGCC